UGGUAUAAUAGAUAAAGUUUCGGCGGUAAAAGAUGGUCAUGCGUGACAUUAGAUAGUUGGUGAGGUAACGGCUCACCAAGUCGACGAUGUCUAGGGGUUCUGAGAGGAAGGUCCCCCACACUGGUACUGAGACACGGACCAGACUCCUACGGGAGGCAGCAGUGAGGAAUAUUGGUCAAUGGACGCAAGUCUGAACCAGCCAUGUCGCGUGAAGGAAGACGGUUCUAUGGAUUGUAAACUUCUUUUAUACGGGAAGAAACGUAUCUACGAGUAGAUAUUUCCGGUACCGUAUGAAUAAGCACCGGCUAACUCCGUGCCAGCAGCCGCGGUAAUACGGAGGGUGCGAGCGUUAUCCGGAUUUAUUGGGUUUAAAGGGUGCGUAGGCGGAAUAAUAAGUCAGUGGUGAAAUCUUGCAGCUUAACUGUAAAACUGCCAUUGAUACUGUUAUUCUUGAAUUUAGUUGAGGUAGGCGGAAUGUGUUGUGUAGCGGUGAAAUGCAUAGAUAUAACACAGAACACCGAUUGCGAAGGCAGCUUACUAAGCUAUAAUUGACGCUGAUGCACGAAAGCGUGGGUAGCGAACAGGAUUAGAUACCCUGGUAGUCCACGCCGUAAACGAUGAUUACUCGUUGUUGGCAAUACAUGGUCAGCGACUGAGCGAAAGCAUUAAGUAAUCCACCUGGGGAGUACGUUGGCAACAAUGAAACUCAAAGGAAUUGACGGGGGCCCGCACAAGCGGAGGAACAUGUGGUUUAAUUCGAUGAUACGCGAGGAACCUUACCUGGACUUAAAUGUAGAUUGACAGGCUUAGAGAUAGGCUUUUCUUCGGACAAUUUACAAGGUGCUGCAUGGUUGUCGUCAGCUCGUGCCGUGAGGUGUCGGGUUAAGUCCCAUAACGAGCGCAACCCCUAUCUUUAGUUACCAGCAUGUAGUGGUGGGGACUCUAAAGAGACUGCCGGUGUAAACCGUGAGGAAGGUGGGGAUGACGUCAAAUCAGCACGGCCCUUACGUCCAGGGCUACACACGUGUUACAAUGGUCGGUACAAAGGGCAGCUACCUAGCGAUAGGGUGCUAAUCUCUAAAACCGAUCUCAGUUCGGAUCGGAGUCUGCAACUCGACUCCGUGAAGCUGGAUUCGCUAGUAAUCGCAUAUCAGCCAUGAUGCGGUGAAUACGUUCCCGGGCCUUGUACACACCGCCCGUCAAACCAUGGAAGUUGGGGG
rnacentral:rRNA from 1 species